UACGGAGGGUGCGAGCGUUGUCCGGAAUCACUGGGCGUAAAGGGCGCGUAGGCGGCCUGAUAAGUAGGGGGUGAAAUCCUGCGGCUUAACCGCAGGGCUGCCCUCUAAACUGUCAGGCUGGAGCACAGUAGAGGCAGGUGGAAUUCCCGGUGUAGCGGUGGAAUGCGUAGAGAUCGGGAAGAACACCUGUGGCGAAAGCGGCGCACUGGACCACAACUGACGCUGAGGCGCGAAAGCUAGGGGAGCAAACAGG
rnacentral:rRNA from 1 species